AAAAAGGUUUUUUUUAGAACCACAUCAAUUGUUAUGAUGUUUGAAGU
rfam:Enterobius vermicularis genome assembly, scaffold: EVEC_scaffold0002076